rnacentral:rRNA from 1 species
AUGGCGACCAUCAAAGCCAAGGUCCAGGACGCCGCCUCCUCCGCCAAGGCCGGCAUCGAUAAGGCGAAGGCCACGGCCGGCGAGAAGGUAAAGAAGGCGACGACGACGGACCCGGGGAAGAAGCGCGAGGCGGAGGAGAAAAAGGAGGACCGCAUGCACAAGGUCGACUCCGACGAGCGCGAUGAGAAGGGGGACCACGCCGCCGAGAGGUCCGGGAGGCGCACCAUCGUCACCGGCACCUAG